rnacentral:tRNA from 1 species
UCCCUAGUGGCCUAGUGGUUAGGGUUUGGCACUUUCACUGACAUGGCCUGGGUUCAGUCCCCGGUCAGGGAA